UACGUAGGGUGCUAGCGUUGUCCGGAUUUAUUGGGCGUAAAGAGCUUGUAGGCGGUUUGUCGCGUCUGCUGUGAAAAUCCGGGGCUCAACCCCGGACUUGCAGUGGGUACGGGCAGACUAGAGUGUGGUAGGGGAGACUGGAAUUCCUGGUGUAGCGGUGAAAUGCGCAGAUAUCAGGAGGAACACCGAUGGCGAAGGCAGGUCUCUGGGCCACUACUGACGCUGAGAAGCGAAAGCGUGGGGAGCGAACAGG
rnacentral:rRNA from 1 species